CCGGAAUAGCUCANUUGGUAGAGCA
rnacentral:tRNA from 3 species